rnacentral:tRNA from 1 species
GCCUAGUUAGCUUGGUUGGUACGUAGUGCGUCUGCCUUGUAAGCGCUAGGCCGCGGGUUCGAUUCCCGCCCGGGGCG